rnacentral:ncRNA from 1 species
UCGGCUCCGGUUCACGCUCGCGCACCCCGCGUCAGCGACCCGGCGCC